rnacentral:misc_RNA from 1 species
GAUGAAGAACGUAGCGAAAUGCGAUACUUGGUGUGAAUUGCAGAAUCCCGUGAACCAUCGAGUCUUUGAACGCAAGUUGCGCCCGAAGCCAUUAGGCCGAGGGCACGCCUGCCUGGGCGUCACACGUCGUUGCCCCCCCCAUCUACUCCUUCGGGAUUGCGGGGGGCGGAUGAUGGCCUCCCGUGCGCCUCGCCGCGCGGUUGGCAUAAAUGCCAAGUCCUCGGCGACGCACGCCACGACAAUCGGUGGUUGCGAAACCUCGGUUGCCCGUCGUGUGCGGUCGUCGCGCAUCGAGGGCUCGAAAAAAUUGCCGGGCUCCGGCUCGGCUUUCAACGCGACCCCAGGUCAGGCGGGGUUACCCGCUGAAUUUAAGCAUAUCAUAAGCGGAGGA